GGGUUGUGAGGUUAAGCGACUAAGCGUACACGGUGGAUGCCCUGGCAGUCAGAGGCGAUGAAGGACGUGCUAAUCUGCGAUAAGCGUCGGUAAGGUGAUAUGAACCGUUAUAACCGGCGAUUUCCGAAUGGGGAAACCCAGUGUGUUUCGACACACUAUCAUUAACUGAAUCCAUAGGUUAAUGAGGCGAACCGGGGGAACUGAAACAUCUAAGUACCCCGAGGAAAAGAAAUCAACCGAGAUUCCCCCAGUAGCGGCGAGCGAACGGGGAGCAGCCCAGAGCCUGAAUCAGUGUGUGUGUUAGUGGAAGCGUCUGGAAAGGCGCGCGAUACAGGGUGACAGCCCCGUACACAAAAAUGCACAUGCUGUGAGCUCGAUGAGUAGGGCGGGACACGUGGUAUCCUGUCUGAAUAUGGGGGGACCAUCCUCCAAGGCUAAAUACUCCUGACUGACCGAUAGUGAACCAGUACCGUGAGGGAAAGGCGAAAAGAACCCCGGCGAGGGGAGUGAAAAAGAACCUGAAACCGUGUACGUACAAGCAGUGGGAGCACGCUUAGGCGUGUGACUGCGUACCUUUUGUAUAAUGGGUCAGCGACUUAUAUUCUGUAGCAAGGUUAACCGAAUAGGGGAGCCGAAGGGAAACCGAGUCUUAACUGGGCGUUAAGUUGCAGGGUAUAGACCCGAAACCCGGUGAUCUAGCCAUGGGCAGGUUGAAGGUUGGGUAACACUAACUGGAGGACCGAACCGACUAAUGUUGAAAAAUUAGCGGAUGACUUGUGGCUGGGGGUGAAAGGCCAAUCAAACCGGGAGAUAGCUGGUUCUCCCCGAAAGCUAUUUAGGUAGCGCCUCGUGAAUUCAUCUCCGGGGGUAGAGCACUGUUUCGGCAAGGGGGUCAUCCCGACUUACCAACCCGAUGCAAACUGCGAAUACCGGAGAAUGUUAUCACGGGAGACACACGGCGGGUGCUAACGUCCGUCGUGAAGAGGGAAACAACCCAGACCGCCAGCUAAGGUCCCAAAGUCAUGGUUAAGUGGGAAACGAUGUGGGAAGGCCCAGACAGCCAGGAUGUUGGCUUAGAAGCAGCCAUCAUUUAAAGAAAGCGUAAUAGCUCACUGGUCGAGUCGGCCUGCGCGGAAGAUGUAACGGGGCUAAACCAUGCACCGAAGCUGCGGCAGCGACGCUUAUGCGUUGUUGGGUAGGGGAGCGUUCUGUAAGCCUGUGAAGGUGUACUGUGAGGUAUGCUGGAGGUAUCAGAAGUGCGAAUGCUGACAUAAGUAACGAUAAAGCGGGUGAAAAGCCCGCUCGCCGGAAGACCAAGGGUUCCUGUCCAACGUUAAUCGGGGCAGGGUGAGUCGACCCCUAAGGCGAGGCCGAAAGGCGUAGUCGAUGGGAAACAGGUUAAUAUUCCUGUACUUGGUGUUACUGCGAAGGGGGGACGGAGAAGGCUAUGUUGGCCGGGCGACGGUUGUCCCGGUUUAAGCGUGUAGGCUGGUUUUCCAGGCAAAUCCGGAAAAUCAAGGCUGAGGCGUGAUGACGAGGCACUACGGUGCUGAAGCAACAAAUGCCCUGCUUCCAGGAAAAGCCUCUAAGCAUCAGGUAACAUCAAAUCGUACCCCAAACCGACACAGGUGGUCAGGUAGAGAAUACCAAGGCGCUUGAGAGAACUCGGGUGAAGGAACUAGGCAAAAUGGUGCCGUAACUUCGGGAGAAGGCACGCUGAUAUGUAGGUGAAGUCCCUCGCGGAUGGAGCUGAAAUCAGUCGAAGAUACCAGCUGGCUGCAACUGUUUAUUAAAAACACAGCACUGUGCAAACACGAAAGUGGACGUAUACGGUGUGACGCCUGCCCGGUGCCGGAAGGUUAAUUGAUGGGGUCAGCGCAAGCGAAGCUCUUGAUCGAAGCCCCGGUAAACGGCGGCCGUAACUAUAACGGUCCUAAGGUAGCGAAAUUCCUUGUCGGGUAAGUUCCGACCUGCACGAAUGGCGUAAUGAUGGCCAGGCUGUCUCCACCCGAGACUCAGUGAAAUUGAACUCGCUGUGAAGAUGCAGUGUACCCGCGGCAAGACGGAAAGACCCCGUGAACCUUUACUAUAGCUUGACACUGAACAUUGAGCCUUGAUGUGUAGGAUAGGUGGGAGGCUUUGAAGUGUGGACGCCAGUCUGCAUGGAGCCGACCUUGAAAUACCACCCUUUAAUGUUUGAUGUUCUAACGUUGACCCGUAAUCCGGGUUGCGGACAGUGUCUGGUGGGUAGUUUGACUGGGGCGGUCUCCUCCUAAAGAGUAACGGAGGAGCACGAAGGUUGGCUAAUCCUGGUCGGACAUCAGGAGGUUAGUGCAAUGGCAUAAGCCAGCUUGACUGCGAGCGUGACGGCGCGAGCAGGUGCGAAAGCAGGUCAUAGUGAUCCGGUGGUUCUGAAUGGAAGGGCCAUCGCUCAACGGAUAAAAGGUACUCCGGGGAUAACAGGCUGAUACCGCCCAAGAGUUCAUAUCGACGGCGGUGUUUGGCACCUCGAUGUCGGCUCAUCACAUCCUGGGGCUGAAGUAGGUCCCAAGGGUAUGGCUGUUCGCCAUUUAAAGUGGUACGCGAGCUGGGUUUAGAACGUCGUGAGACAGUUCGGUCCCUAUCUGCCGUGGGCGCUGGAGAACUGAGGGGGGCUGCUCCUAGUACGAGAGGACCGGAGUGGACGCAUCACUGGUGUUCGGGUUGUCAUGCCAAUGGCACUGCCCGGUAGCUAAAUGCGGAAGAGAUAAGUGCUGAAAGCAUCUAAGCACGAAACUUGCCCCGAGAUGAGUUCUCCCUGACUCCUUGAGAGUCCUGAAGGAACGUUGAAGACGACGACGUUGAUAGGCCGGGUGUGUAAGCGCAGCGAUGCGUUGAGCUAACCGGUACUAAUGAACCGUGAGGCUUAACCUUACAACGCCGAAG
rnacentral:rRNA from 1 species